rnacentral:rRNA from 1 species
UGGGGAAUCUUCCGCAAUGGACGAAAGUCUGACGGAGCAACGCCGCGUGUAUGAUGAAGGUCUUCGGAUUGUAAAGUACUGUCAUUGGGGAAGAACGGUUUUCUUGAGAAUAUUGAGAAGACAUGACGGUACCCAAGGAGGAAGCCCCGGCUAACUACGUGCCAGCAGCCGCGGUAAUACGUAGGGGGCAAGCGUUGUCCGGAAUUAUUGGGCGUAAAGGGCGCGUAGGCGGGCCUUUAAGUCCGGUGUGAAAGAUCAGGGCUCAACCCUGAGAGUGCAUCGGAAACUGGAGGCCUUGAGGACAGGAGAGGAAAGUGGAAUUCCACGUGUAGCGGUGAAAUGCGUAGAUAUGUGGAGGAACACCAGUGGCGAAGGCGACUUUCUGGACUGUAACUGACGCUGAGGCGCGAAAGCGUGGGGAGCAAACAGGAUUAGAUACCCUGGUAGUCCACGCCGUAAACGAUGAGUGCUAGGUGUAGGAGGUAUCGACCCCUUCUGUGCCGCAGUUAACACAAUAAGUACUCCGCCUGGGAAGUACG